UCGUGUAGGCAGGAGCUGGGAGGACUCAAUCCACUCCUCCAAGAUCCUGCCUGCACGAGU
rnacentral:precursor_RNA from 1 species